CAUAGAUAUGGGUCAGCAGGGGCCUGCUGCGCCUACUGGUAGGCUCAGAGGGCUGUUAUCAUCCAUUCGCAUGGUUAAUCACGGAUAAAUACACGAGAAGACUCCAGAUCCAAUCCCAGAGCAAUCCAGGUCGCCGCUAACCGGAAGUCUGUUGGAUAACGGCAUAUGUAUACACAGAUAUGGGAAAAGCUAUUAAGAGUGCACGCUUCAGGAGCGUUAAGAUUAAGGUGGCGAGGAGGUGUAUCGCUGGCCGUGCAAAGGUUUCUUACCUUAGUCAAGGUCUUCCCCAACCCAGCACCAAACAGACCCAUCCUUCAGACCCUUCCACAUCUGUUACACCUCAGGUUGAAUCUGAUGAUGUGGCACCUAGUUCAUGUUCUGAGACUGCAUACAGUAAGGCAAAGAAGAGAGAGAUUCAUGCCUGGGAUGCAGUCAAGGAUGACAUGCUUAAGGUGUCAUUUGAAUGUUCAGCACCAAUCGCUACGCAGUGUGUUGUCUGCCUAGAAGAUGCUGAUUAUAGGUGCAUUGAGUGCAGCACAACUGCAGUCUUUUGUGAGGCUUGUCUGAAGAGGACUCACAGAAAUUCACUGCACCUACCUGAUAAGUGGAAUAAUGCCUACUAUGAGCCGUUUUCC